UACGAGGGGGGCGAGCGUUAUUCGGAAUCACUGGGCGUAAAGCGUGCGUAGGCUGCCUAGUAAGUUGGAAGUGAAAGCCCAGGGCUUAACCCUGGAAUUGCUCUCAAAACUACUAGGCUCGAAUUCGGGAGAGGAUAGCGGAAUUGUCAGUGUAGCAGUGAAAUGCGUAGAUAUUGACAGGAACACCAGUGGCGCAAGCGGCUAUCUGGACCGACAUUGACGCUGAGGCACGAAAGCGUGGGGAUCAAACAGG
rnacentral:rRNA from 1 species